UGGGGAAUAUUGCACAAUGGGCGAAAGCCUGAUGCAGCAACGCCGCGUGAGUGAUGAAGGCCUUCGGGUUGUAAAGCUCUGUCUUUUGGGACGAUAAUGACGGUACCAAAGGAGGAAGCCACGGCUAACUACGUGUCAGCAGCCGCGGUAAUACGUAGGUGGCAAGCGUUGCUCCGGAUUUACUGGGCGUAAAGGAUGCGUAGGCGGAUUUUUAAGUGAGAUGUGAAAUACCCGGGCUUAACUUGGGUGCUGCAUUUCAAACUGGGAAUCUAGAGUGCGGGAGAGGAGAAUGGAAUUCCUAGUGUAGCGGUGAAAUGCGUAGAGAUUAGGAAGAACACCAGUGGCGAAGGCGAUUCUCUGGACCGUAACUGACGCUGAGGCAUGAAAGCGUGGGUAGCAAACAGGAUUAGAUACCCUGGUAGUCCACGCCGUAAACGAUGAGUACUAGGUGUAGGAGGUAUCGACCCCUUCUGUGCCGCAGUUAACACAAUAAGUACUCCGCCUGGGAAGUACGAUCGCAAGAUUAAAA
rnacentral:rRNA from 1 species